GUUCUCGUCUGCUGAGGUAUGACUCUGAGGUAUGACUCCAGCCACUUGUUUUCCUAUUCUUGCAAUAGUGUGAUGAUUUAGUAAAGCAUCAUAGAAGAAAAUGUAUUCACUCCCUUUAAGUUAGGCAAGUUGAAAUUUUAUUAAAUUAUCUAUCUUAUUAUAAAUUACUAAAAUAUUCUGCUAAAAUAUUGGCUUUGAAAGAUAUUACUGUAAUACGUUGCUCAAAACUCCAAGGUUAUUGGGAAAUUAGAAUAUUCUAAUGGGAGAUUGUGUCAUACUUUAUUCCUUUUAUGUCUGUAUCUUACUUUCUUCUGCUGUUGGAAUAAGAUUUUUUUUCAUUGCCCUGUCAUUUCAUAUAUAGAUUAUCAUAAAUAAAUUGGACCAUUUAAUAUUUCUUUCCCUAAGAAAAGAUUGAACCACUUAACUCACUGGUAAUUUGUUAUAAUAAGAAAUGAACUCAUUUUAAAUUUAUUCUUUUUAAAAUCCAAGCACUCUCUUCGAAACAAUUUAUCUCUGGCUAUCGUUACACAGGACUUUUCUCCAGCCAUGCUGUCGCCAUCAUGACUUCAUCAUGACUUCAUCAUGACUUCAUCAUGACUUCUCUUGCAAAAGAUCUCCAUGGCUAGGCUUAUUGCCCGCUUGGCUUUCCCUCAUCCAAGGAAAAGGUGGAAGGGUUAAAGCGCCCUUAUCCAAAUAUAGGGCCCUCUGCCCAGCCAGCUGACGGCAAUCUACCCUAAUUGCACGUGGUCUCUGGGAGGAGCCAGAAGUGAGUCAGCCGGGAAGAAUGAGGGGGAAAGCUCUGUCUACCCCCCCCCCGCCCAUCCAUGCUGGUUUCAGACCCUCUAGUGUGGCUUCUUUAUGGUCUCCCAAGUUCCUCCCCAUUAUCACUUACUGAUUACUCUAAAUUGUUUAGACUCAUUGGUUCCCCCAGUGAACUCUGGUGUUAUUGUUCUGUGGUUUGUCAUGGGGACUUAGGAGGAAGGAGCUCUCGCGCACACACGUGCACUCGCGCGCGCGCGCACACACACACACACACACACACACACACACACACACACACUUAGAGAAGACUCUCACAACUGCUAUGUAGUUCUUAGAAAUUCUUAUGUCUGUGUGAAAGGCUUCUUCUAACAGACAUCAUUGCUGAUGCUUUACAGUUUCACGUGGCCCUUGCCUUUUUAAUGGCUUCUCUUUACUCAUCUGCCUCACAGUGAUUGAUGUCAUUAAAUUACCACGCAGAGUAAUCAUAAAUAUUGUAUUAUGAUAUGUAUUUGAAAAUUGAGUCAUGUCAGAGAGGAGAGGAACUAUUGCACAAUUUCUUCAUAUUUACUAUUUUACAUAAAUAUCACUUAAUGGAAAAAUAGUGUCAAGAUGUCUGUACUAAAUUGCCGUGGUGAAGCUGAGCUUAGGAAAGAAAGUGCAUUAUAAAUAUUAUCAAAACAAUGUAUUAUCAGACUUUACUUUACACAGGGGAAUCUAUUUUGGGAGUAGAAAGCAUUACCUCUAAGCCUUGUUAUAACCAAGUUUCCCGUUAUCAUUAGAGCUCCUAAAAUACACUUGCAGUCUUGACUAUAAAAUGUCAUUUGUUACAAACCCUUAAUCAAUUAUUUUGCUUUAAGGGUUUUUUAUUUUUGUUGGUGGUGAUGGCAGUGGCUUUUGUUUUGUUUUAUUUUUUCAUUACCAGCAAAUGGCCAGCAUCUACUGGUAGAAAUAAAGAAUGGGCGCUUGAUAACUACACGAAUAUGCAUUGUUUCUUUUUCUUUCUUUUUUUUAACAGAACAAAAAAAGAAAUAUAAGAGUUUCUAUUCCUCUUUUGCACACACAUAUUAAUACACACACAUGCACGUACUACUAGGGAUUGAUCGCGGGGCCUCCCCCAUGCUAAAUUGCUUUGCCUAUCUUACCUAAGCUCAGCCUUAUUUUUAAGUUUUAUUUGGAGAAGAAGUGUCCUUAGCUCACCUAGGCUGUCUUGACUCUCUAUGGAGCACAGACAUGCCUUGAAGUUUGAUCCUUCUAUCUCAGCCUCCAGUCCAGAUGUAGAUAUAGGUGUGUGCUACUAUGCCCUGUUGUCUACAAAGUCAUGCCUUUGUGACAUUAAGUAAUGUUAAUGAAUUGGAAUUAGCUUCAUUCAGGUUCCUGGGGCGGGGGGAAGUACUCAGUCCCACAAACUUUCCUCACCUCAGAUGCCAGGUGCAUGUUUCUAGUUCUCAGGUUGCCAGCACUUCUCUGUGCCCUCUGUGCCCUCUGUGCCCUCUGUGCCCUCUGUGCCCUGGCUACAAAGCUAAAGCAUUCCUACUCUCCUACUACGGGGGUUGGGCAUUUGUAGGAACAACUCUUAAGGACUCCAAAAACACUUACUUGCUGUUAUCAAUGAAUGUUAUUGCUAUUAUUGAUUAUCAGAAAGAGCCAAAUGAAUGAUGCUUAAAGUAAAGUGUUGGGGAGGAGACCUGACCCAUUCAGGGCUUUGUUCCAGUUGCGAAGUAUCCUCCAGGGAAGCCCACUCAGAUGCAGGUUCAAAGCAAUAGCCAGUCUUUAUUAGUCAGCCAGUAGCUGCAGUGGGUGUUCAAGACCCUGGUGCAGUCCCCAGCCUUUCUCGAGGUGAGCUUUUAAGCACAGAGUCCACACCCUGGAUUGGCACACCACGGUUCGUGAGAACAGUUAGCAGGAAGCAGAACUACAGAAGCCAAAAAGCGAGGUCCCUAUAUUUAGGGACUUUCCCGGAAUUAUGGACUUUGAUGGAUUUGACCUUGGUUGUAGAUUUGGCCAGUGUUACUGUCACAUGAAGAGUUUAAAGCCCAUACAAUGCUUCUAUCCUGCUGUCAGCUAUGCUAAGGUCUGGGGGCCUUUAACAAUGCCUAUUUUGGACACACUCUUGUUCCCACACCUCAGUGUGUAUAUAUCAGUGUGUGUAUAUCAGUGUGUAUAUAUCAGUGUGUAUAUAUCAGUGUGUAUAUAUCAGUGUGUGUAUAUCAGUGUGUAUAUAUCAGUGUGUAUAUAUCAGUGUGUAUAUAUCAGUGUGUAUAUAUCAGUGUGUAUAUAUCAGUGUGUAUAUAUCAGUGUGUGUAUAUCAGUGUGUAUAUAUCAGUGUGUGUAUAUCAGCCUAAAGGCUCUCUGAACCUUCUUGCUUAGGAGGGGAUGCAUGUGUUCUCCUAACUAAUAUAUAUAUUUAGCACAUGAAAUAUUGGAUUUCACUUUGACAUUUUCAUACACACAUAUUAAUAUACUUUGGUCAUAUCCACCCUCAUCACCCUACAUUCUUCUUCACUCCCAUGGCUUCCUUUUCCCUUUCCAAAGACUUCCUCCUCUGCUUUCUUCUCCUAUGAACUUUUAAAUCAAAUAUGUGUAUAUACCAUGUGUAUAUGUGUUUGUGUGUAUGCAUGUACAUGUGUGUGCGUGUACAUGUGUGUGUGAGUGUGUUUGUGUACAGGAGUACUGGGGUAGAGGAAAAGGCAGAGUGAGCAUGAGUACAGCAGGAACCCAGGGAUACACUAUAGCCCUCUGCAGGCUAUAAUACUCAUGUGGCUCUGUGCCUAUGGUAAGCUGAGCUGACAUAGAGCUCUGCAUUCCUUAGCCCAACUUCAGUUUUCUCAGUCAGUUGUUACUCUAUAGUUAACUAACAAGCUACCAUUGCAAGAAAGUGACAAACUUCCACCACAUCUCUCCAUCAGUUUUACAAUUUCCCUACACUUAUAAUUGUUCC
rnacentral:lncRNA from 1 species